GGGAAGAGAAAGUAUGAAUUAGUUGACUUGCGCCGUUUGCCGCUUUGCUGCUGUAGACAGAAGAGUUUCGCUUCUGCUUGCUGGAACACGUGGGCAUGCGUGGAUUUUAAGAUGGUGUAUGAUGCGGUCAAGGUAACAGACCUAGACUACAAAAAUCCCCGAUGGCCAUUAAACGGCAGCAGACAGAGUUGGAAAAUUAUUACAAUUAUUUGUCUAACUUGGAAAAUCCACUGAAAAUCUUUUUAUUCUGUAUCUAUUGUCCUUCUUUUAAAUGAGACCGGUAUUUGGGGAAGCUAUCGUUCCACAACACUUAAGGGAGAUGAUUUGUUGGGGGGUUUUUUUAGUAAAAGGGGGAGGCUUACACAGAACAAUAGGGGACAAGCUUUUGUUCAUUUUAUGAAUAGUUUGAUAUUUGCCCACUCUUGUACAUUGAUGCGUGGAUUCUUACCACCGUCUUCAGUUUAACUCCAUUCCCAUCCCUUGUGUGAUGGAACUGCUGCUCCAGAACUCUGUGUACUUGAAGGGUGUUAACUUGGGGAAGCCUUGUUUAGAGGGUCCAUGAUGCUCAGCAUGUCUUAGGUAUCUAUUCACAAGCACGACUGAUAUCAUAACUUAUUUCCUAACGUUAUAGCACAUAGUACAACAUGGAAACGGCUCAGGUCUCUGUGGAUUGGAGGACAUCACUCUCCACCAGCCAGCGUGCAGAAAGUAUGCUUAAAAUUCACUAGAGGCUGCACGUGUUGCUUUGCCAAAGGAGUCAGCCCAAGCAAGGUGCAGAUACCACAUAUCUUCACUGUAAGCUAUAACCCUAAGAAAAUCCCUUCUUGGAGAAGAAGGUGUUAGUGAUGCAUCUCUUCUGAUCUACGUUCCAAGAUAUGCACGUGCCUGGAUGCUCUUGAGAGCUGCAGUUAUCAAAGUUGAGUAUAGAGCAUCUUCUGGAGUCAAGUGCACAUUGCAGAAUAACCAUUGCUGGAAGAAUGUCAACAUUUGGUGGUAACAACAGCAGUCCAACCCAUCUUCUGAAGCUUUCCUGGAAGCAGAGUUCCAUGUAUGCCUGCUGGGAAUGGGACAGACAAGAUUACACAUGGAUCUGAUCUUCUACGAUCACAGUGAAGAAGUGAAAAAAAUGGUGUGGAACACCCCCAUCCCCCCACCACAGCUUCUUCUCUACACUUCCAGAGAGGAAAGGUUGAAAAUAAAAAUAUAGAGGACUAAGGAAUGAAAAGUUAUCUUCCUGGGGUUUUCUAGGGAGUGGUGUAUUCCUACCCUGCCCUGCAUUUUUAGAAGGAAUGUUUAAAAUAUGUUCCAUGUCCUCCCUACUUCCUAAAAUGAUAGGAAAGGAAGGCAUGGUCACUUUUUUUUU